rnacentral:misc_RNA from 1 species
UGGAAUUAGAUGUUUUCAUGAGCAACCAAAUGAUAUAAAGGAGGAGUUUUACUCAAUGGAUCCUAUGAAGAAGGUGAUGUUUAAUAGUAAUUUUGAUCUUUAUCAAGCUAAGGUUGCAAAUUGGAGGGAUACAUUAGCUUGUCUCAUGGCUCCUAAUCCUCCUACUAAUGAUGAAUUACCACAAGCGUGUAGGGAGGAAUUACUUCAAUAUUCUCAACAUGUUAGAAAGUUGGGCCUUACAAUAUUUGAGUUACUAGCAGAGGCACUUGGGCUUAAGCCCAAUCACUUAUUGGGCCUGGACUGUGCAAGGGGCCAUUUCAUUCUCUGUCAUUACUAUCCACCUUGUCCUGAGCCCAAUAAGACUCUUGGAAUCACAAAACAUACUGAUCCAGAUUUCUUCACAAUUCUUCUACAAGAUCAAAUUGGUGGGCUUCAAAUUAAUCACCAAAAUCAAUGGAUUGAUAUUCAUCCUGUUACUGGAGCCCUAGUUAUCAAUCUUGGUGACCUUAUGCAGCUUCUAUCAAAUGACAAGUUCAAAAGUGCUGAGCAUAGAGUAUUGUCAAAACAUAUUGGGCCAAGGAUAUCAAUUGCAUGUUUCUUUACAACUCAAUUUCAGCCAUUUGAUACACUUUAUGGCCCAAUAAAGGAAUUGUUGUCUGAUGAAAAUCAUGCUUUGUACAAAGAAACAACAGUGAGAGAUUAUGUGACUUAUUACAACUCUAGAGGACUUGGGGCUCACCCUGCCCUUCUUCAUUUAAGGCUCGAUCCGUCCAUUUGACACGUCUAGUAUAUGCUCGGAAUAUUUGAUAUGUAUCCACUCCUUCAUGAUUUUGGUUUUCGACUCGUGGAAUUAUCAUGUUUGUAUAUUGUGUUUCACUUCUUGAUCUCCAUUUUCAAAUGAGUAUAUACAAAGAAGUGAGAGAAG